rnacentral:sRNA from 1 species
UGGGUACGGUACGGUUGAGAAGGAAGGCGCAAAGUGUUUACAAAGCAAAAUGCAGGCUCAAUUAGCAUAGCAGCUAGUCUAGCCGAUUCGUGGCAUUUGCCAGCACACGUUCACAAAAUUUUCAAGGGUGGCACGAAUGCCGGGCGCGUGUUAAACUAUAACGCCAAAAUUGCGCGGAAAUGCAAAAAUGCAAUGCAUAUUAAGUAAGUGCCCGAAAUAGUUUUAGGCAAUGUAUUCAUUUUUGUAUAUUUGUGUUAUUUUUUUGGUUUUUGCGAGUUAAAUGACGAAAAUGGGAAAAUCGAAUCGGUAACGGAAAGAAACACACACAGAAACAACGUCCACACCCGACGAGGCAACGUUCGAAACUCGAGUCGGUUAGUGAACUUCGUUUAAGCUGGAUACGUGCGAUUUCCAAUUGGAAAUGAUAAAGGGGAGAGCGCAGGAUAGCAUAACUCUACAAAAAAAAAAUAAUAAUAAUAAUAAGGAAAAUACAAAAUACGGGGGUGCGUCUCUCACACUCACUCUCACAAUCUCUCUAUGUGUUUUGCCGGCGCUGGAAAGCGAAAAACAGCUGCUGCUGUUGCGGCAGGGUGUGUUUUUCUAUGUCCAACCACAGAGGUCUUCGGGAGACUGGAAGGAUGUGUCGACACACGACGAAUGCCGAAUGCCGAAUGCCGAAUGACGAUUGUUGGCCGUUUGUUUUGAAACGAAAGCCUCUCGGGCAGCUGUGCUCCCAUUCACAGGCACAAUCACACCCCCUAACCGGUCUUGCUAACCUCUGACCCUAGCCUAGCGUUAGUCCUAACUCCAGUUCGUUGCGUUAGGUGCUGCAUUAACGACGCAAUAAAUGACGAUACCAUGACAACAAGCCGAGACACCCACUUAAACAUGAAUAAUGGCCAGUCAGAUGAAUACCCCACCACACCACACUACAGAAUACCAGCCCAAUUCCACAGCACCCACAGCAGCCUUUGUCUUCGUCUUAACUAAGCUGAACUGACAAAAAAUACAGCGCAAAAGGAAGAAAUUAAAACGGACUGAGAGAGAGUAUUGUAGAAAUUAAAGUAAAACAAAAGUAUUUCUUAUUAAAUGUCAUGAAUUAUUACAGAUUUUUAUAUUGAGAGAGCUGCGCUUCUAAUUAAAAAUAGUAAUAAUAAAUUUAUUUGUUGCCUUCGACACAAUUCUUA